UCCCGGCCGAGGCUGCACGGAAGGCUGCGGCGUGGACUCGCCUUCGGGGAGGCACGGAGAGCGACGCCGCACACGGCCGCGGAGGGGAGAGCGAGGCCCCCAACAGUCCCCAAGAAUUCUCCGACUUCCAGGGAAAAAGGAAUACUGGGAGAUGGAAGAAAAGACACCCUUCAGGGACCCCCAGCUCCGACUGACUCUGCCUCCGCUACGUUUCCUGGCCUCCGCUAGUUUGGUUUAAGAGCCAGGAGAGUCCUGCUUCUACACUUUUCCUUCUAUGGAAGUGUCCAGGCCAUGAGAAGACCUUCUUCUGGAUAGUGAGGUGGAGUUUUAAAAAACUGUGUUUUUCAACUCUGGCAGUGGAGUCUUUGGCAACCAUGUGGUUCCUAGCGAAGGAGAGGAAGAGAAACGUCGAGCCAGGGUGGCCUCGAACUUGCAGAAAUCCUCUAGCCUCAGCCUCCUCCACGCUGGGAUUACAGACCUACAUUACCAAGCCCGACCGGUCCUUCAGUAUUUACAGCUGGUGAAUAGCUGAAAAUAACCACGAACAUUUCAAAUCC